rnacentral:rRNA from 1 species
AACGAACGCUGGCGGCAGGCUUAACACAUGCAAGUCGAGCGCCGUAGCAAUACGGAGCGGCAGACGGGUGAGUAACGCGUGGGAAUCUACCCAUCACUACGGAACAACUCCGGGAAACUGGAGCUAAUACCGUAUACGUCCUUCGGGAGAAAGAUUUAUCGGUGAUGGAUGAGCCCGCGUUGGAUUAGCUAGUUGGUGGGGUAAUGGCCCACCAAGGCGACGAUCCAUAGCUGGUCUGAGAGGAUGAUCAGCCACACUGGGACUGAGACACGGCCCAGACUCCUACGGGAGGCAGCAGUGGGGAAUAUUGGACAAUGGGCGCAAGCCUGAUCCAGCCAUGCCGCGUGAGUGAUGAAGGCCUUAGGGUUGUAAAGCUCUUUCACCGGAGAAGAUAAUGACGGUAUCCGGAGAAGAAGCCCCGGCUAACUUCGUGCCAGCAGCCGCCGUAA